rnacentral:misc_RNA from 1 species
GAUGAAGAACGUAGCGAAAUGCGAUAAGUAAUGUGAAUUGCAGAAUUCAGUGAAUCAUCGAAUUUUUGAACGCACAUUGCGCCCGCCAGUAUUCUGGCGGGCAUGCCUGUUCGAGCGUCAUUUCAACCAUCAAGCCCCAGGCUUGUGUUGGGGACCUGCGGCUGCCGCAGGCCCUGAAAACCAGUGGCGGGCUCGCUGUCACACCGGGCGUAGUAGAUUUUAUCUCGCUCUGGGCGUGCUGCGGGUUCCGGCCGUUAAAAAACCCUUUUAACCCAAGGUUGACCUCGGAUCAGGUAGGAAUACCCGCUGAACUUAAGCAUAUCAAUAAGCGGAGGA